GGACAGGUGGUGCAUGGUUGUCGUCAGCUCGUGUCGUGAGAUGUUGGGUUAAGUCCCGCAACGAGCGCAACCCUCGACCUUAGUUGCCAGCAUUCAGUUGGGCACUCUAAGGUGACUGCCGGCUAAAAGUCGGAGGAAGUGGGGAUGACGUCAAAUCAUCAUGCCCCUUAUGACCUGGGCUACACACGUGCUACAAUGGGCGGUACAAAGGGUCGCGAACCCGCGAGGGGGAGCCAAUCCCAAAAAGCCGCUCUCAGUUCGGAUUGCAGGCUGCAACUCGCCUGCAUGAAGCCGGAAUCGCUAGUAAUCGCGGAUCAGCAUGCCGCGGUGAAUACGUUCCCGGGCCUU
rnacentral:rRNA from 1 species